rnacentral:lncRNA from 1 species
GUCUCUCCCCUCCGGCUCUCAGGCAUACAGCUUCCCGGGCCAAAGGCAGAACUCUGCCCUUGGCAAAGCUUGCCUUACCUGUACCAAGAUCACCAGCCUCUCCGUUCUCUUCAGGAACCCGGCAUCUGAGACUCAGCUGUAUGACUAGAGGACAUUUCCUCUUAGCCUUUCUUUCCACAGGCAUCCGGGCGUGCUCCUCACACUGGUGUUGGCGAGGCAUGGGGCUUCCUCACAGUGGUGGGGCUGGAGUGGCUUGUGUGCCUCGGUGGGUUUGUGAGCUGGGUGGACCCUGACCCCAGAGCCUGGUAGGGUCUGUCUGAGCGGUGAGGGUGUGUGAGGCAUGGUGACUAGCCCGUGCCCCACUUCUACCCCUACCUGCUCUGCCCUCAUCGUCCCUGGCACUGCUGGUGGGCCCUACCCUGUCCACUGUGUCUCUCCAUGAGUCCUAAGUCCUCUGUGAGCGGCGUGGUCCGUGUGCACCUGUGUGCACGUGUGUGUGCGAGGGGCACAGGAGUCCUGUCUUGUCUCUGUGCUGUGUGGGCAGAUGGAGGUUGGCCUGUUUUUACUCUCUCUGUGUUUCUCCUUGUCUUUUUUUAUUCCCUCUCAUCCUCAUCGCACUCUGCCAUCAACCCAAACUCUCAUCUCUCAGAUCAGCGAGAAGGUUGGUCGUUUUCACUUCUUAUCCAUCUACAGUUCGCCCACCGACUGUGCCCGUCAGUUGGGACCAGCGGGCUUGGUCGGCUCCCUCAGGCUCGCUCCAGCCGCGCCUGCCCGCCAGUUGGCCUCUUCUCGGUGUUUGGGCUGGCUGGCAGGCAGGACCAGGGAUGGGUGGGCAGGCCUUCUGCCCUGCAUGUACCUGUUGCUUGACCCUGAUUCGCUGUGUGUCUGCAUGUCCCCUUAGCCAGGCUCCGCUGUUGGAGUGGCCACACAUGCACGGUGCACGGCAUAAAACUGUACCCUACAGAACUGCACUCAGCUUUGCACCCAGACCAGGCUAGCCCUCUGUUUCAGGAAUGGUCAUGGGGAUCUCUGUCAGAGAAACUAAACUACAUGCUUGGCAUGUAGGAGUUCAGGGAAGCUUCUACCAUUUCCCCACCCACCCUUAUGUUGUCUGCGGAACUAAGAGAAGGCAGAACUGCAGGAGGCAAUAGGAGGAGGCUAAUUUAGAGUGAGUUGUCCCCUUGAGAUCUCACAGUACGCGACACAGUCCUGCAGUGUCUGCCCUGCCCUUGAGGCCCCCAGAGCCUUACCAAUGCUCCACAAAGCAGACUGGCUGUACUGAGACUUAAGACCAGCCUUGGUCUGCCUCUCAAAGACCCUGAUGGCCGUAGUCCAAGGCAGGUGGCAUCAUUUUCAUACACUGAGUAAGUGUCCCGACAUUAUAUCUUUUCUGUCUCCUACCGGGUCCAAACCAAGGUCACCCUGCCUGCCCAGACCACUCUACCCGAGCUUCCAAGCCAGCCUCUGUGCCUCUCCGAGGGUACAGUGUAUGUGGCUCACUGACCAGCUAACAGCCCUCAGUCCCAUGCUGGGCAGUGGCACUGAGCGUUCAGAUCCAGUUUGCUUAUGCCUGGAGUGACUGAAUUGUCACUGCAGUCUCCUUAGGCCUUGAGUAUCAAUCAGUCCAGCUCAGCCUUAGAUUGGGCAGGGCUUUUUGAAACUCCCUGGAUCCUCUCCCAGAGCUGUCCCCUGGAGCCAGGCCUCUAUUUCCCAGUACUGGACCAACAAGGGGCUGGUGGUCCUUUAUAUAUCGUGUGGUGUAAAGGGUUAAUCACUGGGCUUUGGGGGGUCCAAGGAAGAAGCACAGGGCAGACCCCAGCUACCAGGUGGCCUCUGCAUCAUGCUCUGUGGCUUUGAGUUUACUCCGGGAGGACAAGGGAGCCAGUCAGGAGGAGGGCUGCAGCCUGGGCUCAGAUAUCAACAUAAGCCUCCAUCUGUAUGCACUCCUGAGCUCUGGGGCAUUUCGGUUACACCAUUUCGCUGACCAGGCGGAUCUGCCAGGGCGUUCAGAAAAUAGUCAUCAGCAGACAGCCCAGCCCGCAGCCACUCCCCCCACACCCCUUCACCUACCCUCUGCAUCCUUUGUUCUCUCCCCACCCACCCUGUGGUCCCACCAAAAAUACACACAUACACAAAUAUUUAACGGGAAGGAGAAAUGAGUUUCUAAAUAUUCCGGGGGGAUUUGCCGGGCUGGUAAUUUGUUUGGUGCUGAUAAUUGCAUCUUACAUUUUUCUAGCUUUACUUAAAACUGUGUGCCGGGUGUGCCAGCAUUUAAUUACUGCUCUGCGGCAGCCACAAGGUUAUUUAUUAAAGAGUUAUUUUAUCUUGAUACAGUGGAUCCUGCCCCUUAUCCCCUCCUUAAUGUUGUGUUAUUUUCAUCAGAGAAAUUUCCGCAAGUGAAUGCAGAUUGCGGGGCUACCUCCCCCUGCGAUUAGGCUGUCACUCCACUGAAUGCGGAUACCUCCAGGCGCCGCACCACCCUAUUAUAGGGGGUUGUCAGCGCAAAUAAUUAGACUUAAAAGUUACAGCUGAAAUAUAAUCCAGAAAUGGCAGGGCCCUGUUUUGGAAAUUGUCUAUAAAAUGUCAGCAGUAAGGAUGCACGGGGAACAGUAAUAGACCGGCAUUGUUGGAGCCUGAGAUUAGACCCUAAGUGCAUUUUCCCCAGCUCCAGUUUUUCCUUCCCUGCUGUUGCUUCUGUCAAUAGACCAAGUCCAGGGAGAGUCCUGUUCCCUUUGGAGGCCCUGUGCUUGUGGCGGCCGGGGGAGGACGGUGGAGAUGCUAUGUUGGAGCAUCAGCCACUUGCAACUGUUGGCACAGGAGUAGCUGUCUAGGCUGGGCUAGGACACAGGGCCUCUAGCAUUUGGGGCACUUUGUUGCCUCUUUCCCCAUUUUCAGUAGAUAUGCUGGCCUACCUGAGCUCUAGCAGAUUGACUUCCAGGAGUCUUUGCAUGUGGCUGGACCCCAGUGCCCUUCUAUAGGAAUGUAGUUAUCAGUGGAAUACCUGGGGCCUCUGGCUGAGUUCCUUUCCCAGUGCUGAGGUGACCCUGACCUCACACCUGUCUGUAGCCCCCAAAGUUCUCCCUAUAGCUUGCAUCUUGGAGGGAAAAUAAAAGCCAUUCUUAGCCGGGCGUGGUGGCACACGCCUUUAAUCCCAGCACUCAGGAGGCAAAGGCAGGGGGAUUUCUGAGUUCGAGGCCAGCCUGGUCUACAAAGUGAGUUCCAGGACAGCCAGGGCUAUACAGAGAAACCCUGUCUCGAAAAACCAAAAAAAAAGAAAAAGCCAUUCUUAGUGUCACUUCCCAUGGGGGCCCAGUUUCCUGACAUCGACUAGAGAUGGAGCCUUUGAAAGGAGCGGCCCAGGGCAUUGGCCUGGCUCCGAAGCUGAUCCCUGAGGACUCUGCUGGCUUGGAAAACACUGUCCACCAUGGACUAUCCAGGGGUCAAAGUUUGGACAUGUUUAGGUAUGGGCCCCAGGUAUUUUAGCCAAAGACCUACUUCCUACUGCAUAAACCCAGUGGCCCCUCUUUCAUUUGGGUUCCACCAUUAACUAGAGCCACCAUUAACUAGUGUCACUCUCAAAAGUCUUAUCUGUAUGCCAUCUGGAGCUCGACAUUAUGCCAACGCUAAAGCCCCAUGGCCUUCAUGGGCUUUCGAAGAUAGAGUUUUUACCACACAGACCUGAUCUUCCUGAGGAUAUAAAGGCAGAUGCGUCACUUCCUGUGUCAGCAUUGACUCUGGCCCUCAUCUGCAAUUGAGACAUGGUGGCACAGGCACCCUCUGUACAGAGUACAGAGUGGCUUUCCACUAGGCAUGAUGUGCAUGGCUUUAAUCCCAGCACUCAGAAGGCAGAGGCAGGUAGACCUUUGUGAGUUCAAGGCCACCCUGGUGUAUACACUAAGCUUCAGGAUAGCCAGGGAUAUAUAAACCCUGUC